rnacentral:lncRNA from 1 species
CUUCUUUGGGCUGGAAUCUCCUUCUAAAGUCGGGUACUCGCUGAUGAACGGGCUGGGAAACUUCUGACUUGUAAAAUUCAUAACUUCUUGCUCCGUAAAUAUUUUGGCUCGAUUCCAAUUGGGAUGGACUCCUUAUUGAGUGUAAAAUCCAAUAAAAUUGGUUUCAUGUUGAAAGUCCUUCUGGUUGUGGAGAUAUACGCCUUUCACUGAACCUCGGUCGAUGGUACCUUCUAGAUGGC